rnacentral:misc_RNA from 1 species
CAUCAAUUGAGAAGUGUGUGCGCCACUAGGGAUUGCCGAACAGGUCCACGAAGCUAGCAGAUAUAAAGGGAGAAAGAGAAAUCCGCCAACGUCGUGUUCUUGAUACGUAUGUUGUUGUCCAAUAGGAUGGCCGAGGGAAUUAGCUAGGGUGAGCGGAACGUGUUUGUGACGAUUGCGAGUGCAAAGAUUGACCAAAAGGCCAGUUAGUCGUUGUUCACUGGAGUAUGGGCACCACAGUAGAGCGAGCCGGGCGUCGUGGCUAGCCUUGCCGCUAGCUUCACUGUCGGUAGCUGCAACAUUCAAAAUUGGGAACAGCAAAGGCAUACCUGAUAUCCCGGAUAAUCUUUCUUCUGAGGCAAAAAGCUUUCUGAAACUCUGUUUGCAGCGUGAUCCUGCAGCCCGCCCUAUAGCUGCUCAGCUGAUGGAUCGCCCUUUUGUAAAAGACCAUGCUACAGUCAGGAGUUCUAGGUCUGGCAUCACAAGGGGUAUGUUUCCUACUUCAACUGGUGGGAAAAAUAGCAUGAUUGCAACUUCAUCAUACAAAAGCGUAUCUCCUUUAAGAGAUCCUGAUAUCGUGAUAAGAAACUUGCCAGGGCCAACAUCCCCCAUUCCUUCGACAUCAAAUUACAGGAUCACAGCAUUGUAUGUUCUCCUUUUGUCAGACUUAUUGCAAUUUACAUGUUGUGAAUUGUGUCUCAGCUGAUUUUUUUUCGUCCAGGAACCCAUCCAAUGUUCGGAUGAACAUGUCCCUGCUUGUCUCUCCCUGGUCUAGCCCGCUUUGGUAGUACAGGCAGUCCAACUGAAGUUGAUUGUCAUCCCCUCCACAGUCCACACCCAGCCUAUUCAGCUGGACCAGCCAACUACAGUCCUAUCAACAAUGCACGGUACCCGAUGCGAAGCAGUGGUCUCACAGAUCCAUCGCUCUAAAUCUCUCAGCUGAAAACACAAACUUUUGAUUCUCCAAGAAGAUUGUAGAGAUUCCAAAAAGAAGUAAUACUUUGUAUACAGGCAGGGAAAAAGUGUGCAUAAUUUAUGCUGUUAGAGGAACAAAGGAACACCCUUUUUUCUGUUUUGCACCUUCUGUAUGUAUUUUUCACCCAGGAUGCAGUUGCAUCGCCUUUGCACAAAUUCAGAGAAGCGCUAGUGAAAAGAGUAGCAUUUCAGUUCAGAUCGCACCUCUUAUAUGUUUUGUCUAUAUGGCUAGAUUUUGCACAAAGAUAUGUUGGAGAAAGGAGAUUUCAUGGUAACUGAAUCUGAUGCAUAUGGAACACGUCUCCUCUGUAUGUCAGAGUCUUCUCCUCAACACCGAAACUCCAGAGAUGACCUUGCAACUCCAACACACCCUUUGCAUCUUCAUUCUUCUUCUUGCCCACAACAUCUUUACCAUUGUGAUUGGCGGCAUGACAGUCAGUAUUCGCGGCCUCCCAAACAAACCGGAAGAUUUGGAGGGCACGGCUCAGUUGCUUGAUGCCGCUCCUGAUCGUCGAUUCAUCGCCAUCGAUCAGGAAUUCUGCGGCGUGAACGGUAACAUUCCUGCCUCCCUCGCCAGAAAUGCAUUUGCCGACGUGCACCUCCAUGUCCCGGACGGAGCCAUAGAGGUAGAAGAGGAGCAGCGUGUACAGGCACCUGGAGGAGUGCCCCAGGCUCUUGGACAGCUUCCUCUGCACCAGGCAGUCCUGCCGGCGCGCCUCCUUGAAGGCUAUGUCCCGUUCAAUGACGACGUCACGUAUCUGGUACAACCCCUCCUUCAUGGCCUCCACCUUCUGCACAUGCCCGGUGAGUCGAUCCUCCAUCUCCAGGCUCCUGGCGAGGACGGCGAUGAGGACGUCGCCGUGUCCGACAGGAAGCCGUUGCAAGCGGAGGCGAUCUGCUCGGCCAUCUUGAUCCCUGGGCUCGGGCUAUCCAGAGACGCCAUGUCGGCCUGGAGAUCCCCGAGCACCGCCUCGAGCGCGCCCCGCCAGACGUGGUGCUGCGUCACCUGCGGGCAGACGUUGAGCCGCACGCUCUUCCUCCGCUGGGCUGAUACGCCGAGCACGUCGCAGACCUGCGUCAGCGAUCUCAGCGACGUCACCUCCAUCUUCAGCGGCGGGUGGCCGCGGCUCACGGUGGCCACGGCGGCGACGAACUCACCCGCGAGCGCGUCAAAGUGCGCGGCCCGGGUGGCGGCGUGCGGGCAUGCGACGAG